CCCUCCUCAGUGGCCCUUCUUGUCGGGUGCGUCCCGCUAAUUCAUCGCGUCUUAUGCGCCCCAUCCCUCAACGACGAGCCCCGAGACGGGCAACACGCACUGUGAGACAGCCGAUGUACGCCUGAGGUAAUCACAGGGAAGAGCCUCUCGGGACCCACCGUGAGACAGCCGAUGUACGCCUGAGGUGAUCACAGGGAAGAGCCUCUCGGGACCCACCGUGAGACAGCCGAUGCACGCCUGAGGUAAUCACAGGCAUAGGAUGCCAUUUCUUCAUGGCCAUCCUAAUCCGCCAUUAAGACGAUUGAAGGCCAGGAUAUGAAGCCAUUAAUCUACUAUCUGGUACUCCUUUUUUUUCGACUCGACAAAGUAAUUACUAUAUAUAUAUUAUGUAUGUCUCAUCGCAUGGAAUAUGGAGGGGUUUACUCCCCUCGAGAAAUAAAUCCAUUAAAUAGAAACAGCUGUCUCCUCCUCCGGAGUGAGGUUGGAAUUCCAUCCUCCUGAAGAGCAGACUAGUUAUUAUGUGAUCUCCGAAAGGGUGGCAGCCUUCUUCCUCAAGCAUCCGACACACCCAUGCAUCAUUGAGUUCUGCAUUUGCUGAGGUCGCUCGAGCCAUCGCAAGAUCUUUGACUGAUCCAAGAACCACAUGCUGAGGUAUUAACUCGGAUUCUCGGUACCAUGAACUCCCCAGCAGGAGCUGUUGUGCAGAGCUCGAUUCUUCCUCGCAGGAGGUCUUCAAUGGAAGAUCGUGG
rnacentral:lncRNA from 1 species